rnacentral:rRNA from 1 species
ACCUUUUUGGGCUCUCCCUUGAAUGCCAAGCUGGCGGACGGGGGAUAACACGUGGGCAACCUGCCUGUAAGACUGGGAUAACUCCGGGAAACCGGGGCUAAUACCGGAUAACUCUUUCCCUCACAUGAGGGAAAGCUGAAAGAUGGUUUCGGCUAUCACUUACAGAUGGGCCCGCGGCGCAUUAGCUAGUUGGUGAGGUUACGGCUCACCAAGGGGACGAUGCGUUACCCAACUGAAAAGGGGAUCGGCCACACUGGGACUGAGACACGGCCCAGACUCCUAGGGAGGGAGCAGUAGGGAAUCUUCCGCAAUGGACGAAAGUCUGACGGAACAACGCCCCGGGAGUGAUGAAGGUUUUCGGAUCGGAAAACUCUGGUGGCAGGGAGAAAAGUACCGGAAUAACUGCCGGGUCUUGACGGACCUGACCAGAUAGCCAGGGUAACUAGUGCCACAGCCCCGUAAUACUAUGUGGUAGCCGUGACCUGAAUUAUGGGCUAAACGG